rnacentral:rRNA from 1 species
GAUGAACGCUGGCGGCGUGCUUAACACAUGCAAGUCGAACGAAGCACUUAAGAUUGAUUCUUCGGAUGACGUCUUUUGUGACUUAGUGGCGGACGGGUGAGUAACGCGUGGGUAACCUGCCUCACACAGGGGGAUAACAGUUAGAAAUGACUGCUAAUACCGCAUAACCCGAUAGGAUCGCAUGAUCCAGACGGAAAAGAUUUAUCGGUGUGAGAUGGACCCGCGUCUGAUUAGCUAGUUGGUGAGGUAACGGCCCACCAAGGCGACGAUCAGUAGCCGGCCGGAGAGGGUGAACGGCCACAUUGGGAAUGAGACACGGCCCAAACUCCUACGGGAGGCAGCAGUGGGGAAUAUUGCACAAUGGGGGAAACCCUGAUGCAGCGACGCCGCGUGAGUGAAGAAGUAUUUCGGGAUGUAAAGCUCUAUCAGCAGGGAAGAAAAUGACGGUACCUGACGAAGAAGCCCCGGCUAACUACGUG